rnacentral:lncRNA from 1 species
AAGACACAAGGCAUUAUAGAAAAUGUCAGUGGGACCUGAAGAAAAUCCUUUUCAAGGGAACUUCAUAAUGACCUACAAAAGCACGCACACUGCACUUCUGAGGGAAUUUAGUGAUGCUCACCGCAUCACUAAAGAAAGGAACACCGUAUUCUGAAGGAGAAGUGGAGGCAGCAUAAGCAAAAAAAAAGAG